rnacentral:rRNA from 1 species
GAUGAACGCUGGCGGCGUGCCUAAUACAUGCAAGUCGAGCGAACAGAUAAGGAGCUUGCUCCUUUGACGUUAGCGGCGGACGGGUGAGUAACACGUGGGUCACCUACCUAUAAGACUGGGAUAACUUCGGGAAACCGGAGCUAAUACCGGAUAAUAUUUCGAACCGCAUGGUUCGAUAGUGAAAGAUGGUUUUGCUAUCACUUAUAGAUGGACCCGGGCCGUAUUAGCUAGUUGGUAGGGUAACGGCUUACCAAGGCGACGAUACGUAGCCGACCUGAGAGGGUGGUCGGCCGCACUGGAACUGGAACCCGGUCCAUGCUCCUACGGGAGGGCGCAGUAGGGAAUCUUCCGCAAUGGGCGGAAACCUUACGGAACAACGCCGCGUGAGUGAUGGAAGUCUUCGGAGCGUAAAACCCUCUUUUUAGGGAAAAACAUACGUGGAAGUAACUGUGCCCUUCUUGACGGUACCUAAUCAAGAAGCCACGGCUAACUACGUG